rnacentral:misc_RNA from 1 species
GAAAUGCGAUACUUGGUGUGAAUUGCAGAAUUCAGUGAAUCAUCGAAUCUUUGAACGCACAUUGCGCCCUUUGGUAUUCCAAAGGGCAUGCCUGUUCGAGCGUCAUUUGUACCCUCAAGCUUUGCUUGGUGUUGGGCGUCUUGUCUCCAGUUCGCUGGAGACUCGCCUUAAAGUCAUUGGCAGCCGGCCUACUGGUUUCGGAGCGCAGCACAAGUCGCGCUCUCUUCCAGCCAAGGUCAGCGUCCAGUAAGCCUUUUUUUUUCAACUUUUGACCUCGGAUCAGGUAGGGAUACCCGCUGAACUUAA